GGGAUGGUAGACCGGUGACGUGC
rnacentral:miRNA from 5 species